rnacentral:rRNA from 1 species
GGGUUGUGAGGUUAAGCGACUAAGCGUACACGGUGGAUGCCCUGGCAGUCAGAGGCGAUGAAGGACGUGCUAAUCUGCGAAAAGCGCCGGCGAGGUGAUAUGAACCUUUGACCCGGCGAUGUCCGAAUGGGGAAACCCAGUGCAAUCCGUUGCACUAUCGUUAACUGAAUACAUAGGUUAACGAGGCGAACCGGGGGAACUGAAACAUCUAAGUACCCCGAGGAAAAGAAAUCAACCGAGAUUCCCCCAGUAGCGGCGAGCGAACGGGGAGCAGCCCGGAGUCUGAAUCAGCUUGUGUGUUAGUGGAACGGUCUGGAAAGUCCGACGGUACAGGGUGAUAGUCCCGUACACGAAAGCACACAUGCUGUGAACUCGAAGAGUAGGGCGGGACACGUGGUAUCCUGUCUGAAUAUGGGGGGACCAUCCUCCAAGGCUAAAUACUCCUGACUGACCGAUAGUGAACCAGUACCGUGAGGGAAAGGCGAAAAGAACCCCGGCGAGGGGAGUGAAAAAGAACCUGAAACCGUGUACGUACAAGCAGUGGGAGCCUCUUUAUGGGGUGACUGCGUACCUUUUGUAUAAUGGGUCAGCGACUUAUAUUCUGUAGCAAGGUUAACCGUAUAGGGGAGCCGAAGGGAAACCGAGUCUUAACUGGGCGUUAAGUUGCAGGGUAUAGACCCGAAACCCGGUGAUCUAGCCAUGGGCAGGUUGAAGGUUGGGUAACACUAACUGGAGGACCGAACCGACUAAUGUUGAAAAAUUAGCGGAUGACCUGUGGCUGGGGGUGAAAGGCCAAUCAAACCGGGAGAUAGCUGGUUCUCCCCGAAAGCUAUUUAGGUAGCGCCUCGUGAAUUCAUCUUCGGGGGUAGAGCACUGUUUCGGCUAGGGGGCCAUCCCGGCUUACCAACCCGAUGCAAACUACGAAUACCGAAGAAUGUUAUCACGGGAGACACACGGCGGGUGCUAACGUCCGUCGUGAAGAGGGAAACAACCCAGACCGCCAGCUAAGGUCCCAAAGUCAUGGUUAAGUGGGAAACGAUGUGGGAAGGCACAGACAGCCAGGAUGUUGGCUUAGAAGCAGCCAUCAUUUAAAGAAAGCGUAAUAGCUCACUGGUCGAGUCGGCCUGCGCGGAAGAUGUAACGGGGCUAAACCAUGCACCGAAGCUGCGGCAGCGACACUAUGUGUUGUUGGGUAGGGGAGCGUUCUGUAAGCCGUUGAAGGUGUGCUGUGAGGCAUGCUGGAGGUAUCAGAAGUGCGAAUGCUGACAUAAGUAACGAUAAAGCGGGUGAAAAGCCCGCUCGCCGGAAGACCAAGGGUUCCUGUCCAACGUUAAUCGGGGCAGGGUGAGUCGACCCCUAAGGCGAGGCCGAAAGGCGUAGUCGAUGGGAAACAGGUUAAUAUUCCUGUACUUGGUGUUACUGCGAAGGGGGGACGGAGAAGGCUAUGUCAGCCGGGCGACGGUUGUCCCGGUUUAAGCAUGUAGGCGGAGGUUCCAGGUAAAUCCGGUACCUUUUAACGCUGAGGUGUGAUGACGAGGCACUACGGUGCUGAAGUGAUAAAUGCCCUGCUUCCAGGAAAAGCCUCUAAGCAUCAGGUAACACGAAAUCGUACCCCAAACCGACACAGGUGGUCAGGUAGAGAAUACCAAGGCGCUUGAGAGAACUCGGGUGAAGGAACUAGGCAAAAUGGUGCCGUAACUUCGGGAGAAGGCACGCUGAUGUGUAGGUGAAG